rnacentral:rRNA from 1 species
GAUGAACGCUGGCGGCGUGCCUAAUACAUGCGAGUCGAGCGAACGGACGAGAAGCUUGCUUUUCUGAUGUUAGCGGCGGACGGGUGAGUAACACGUGGAUAACCUACCUAUAAGACUGGGAUAACUUCGGGAAACCGGAGCUAAUACCGGAUAAUAUUUUGAACCGCAUGGUUCAAAAGUGAAAGACGGUCUUGCUGUCACUUAUAGAUGGAUCCGCGUUGCAUUAGCUAGUUGGUAAGGUAACGGCUUACCAAGGCAACGAUGCAUAGCCGACCUGAGAGGGUGAUCGGCCACACUGGAACUGAGACACGGUCCAGACUCCUACGGGAGGCAGCAGUAGGGAAUCUUCCGCAAUGGGCGAAAGCCUGACGGAGCAACGCCGCGUGAGUGAUGAAGGUCUUCGGAUCGUAAAACUCUGUUAUUAGGGAAGAACAUAUGUGUAAGUAACUGUGCACAUCUUGACGGUACCUAAUCAGAAAGCCACGGCUAACUACGUG